rnacentral:misc_RNA from 1 species
GAUGAAGAACGCAGCGAAAUGCGAUAAGUAAUGUGAAUUGCAGAAUUCAGUGAAUCAUCGAAUCUUUGAACGCACAUUGCGCCCGCCAGUAUUCUGGCGGGUAUGCCUGUUCGAGCGUCAUUACAACCCUCAGGCCCCCGGGCCUGGCGUUGGGGAUCGGCGGAGCCCCCCGUGGGCACACGCCGUCCCCCAAAUGCAGUGGCGGUCCCGCCGCAGCUUCCAUCGCGUAGUAGCUAACACCUCGCGACUGGAGAGCGGCGCGGCCACGCCGUAAAACACCCAACUCUUCUGAAGUUGACCUCGAAUCAGGUAGGAAUACCCGCUGAACUUAAGCAUAUCAAUAAGCGGAGGA